GUCUGCUUCAAUGACACAACAAACCAGGUGUUUCACUCUUCUUCACGAUACUUGACUGUUGUCUUCAGGAAUGAAGUGUCUGGUGUCAGCCAUGGUUUUAAGGCUCUAUUUACAAGCUCUCUGACUUAAGAUGAAGGUUGUGUGGAUUGUUCCUCAGACAACAUGGUCAUUGUCAUUCAGAGAUCUUACCUGAAUUCACUUGGGUUGAAUGGAAAUGACCUUUAUGUUGACGACCAUCUUUGCAGACCCAACAUUAGCAGUACUGAAGUUGUUUUCAGCUUCCCACUUGCAUGUGGAACCACCAAACAGAUGGAUUUCAACAGUUUCUAUGGUACAAGAACUUUAGGCCCAUGUAACAGGAAACCGCAAGGACUCUGAUGCUGAUCUCAGCUAUGUUGAUGACCCAAUAAAGUUCUCAAAUCUGUCCUGGAGUACCCCCAGCCCUGCACAUUUUUUAUGUCUCCUUCACAGUCAAGGAUAUUGUGGCUACUAAGAUUGCACCUAAAUCAACAAUUUAUAGGUUCAUCAAGAACUUCAAGGAAAGAGGUUCAAUUCUUGUAAAGAAGGCUUCAGGGCGUUCCAAGAAAGUCCAGCAAGCGCCAGGAUCGUCUCCUGAAGAGGAUUCAGCUGCGGGAUCGGAGUGCCACCAGUGCAGAGCUUGCUCAGGAAUGGCAGCAGGCAGGUGUGAGCGCAUCUGCACGCACAGUGAGGCGAAGACUUUUGGAAGAUUGGUCUGGUGUCAAGAAGGGCAGCAAAGAAGCCCCUUCUCUCCAAAAACAAAUCAGGUACAGAUUGAUCUUCUGCAGAAAGUAUAGUGAAUGGACUGCUGAGGACUGGGGCAAAGUAAUAUUCUCAGAUGAAGCCCCUUUCCGAUUGUUUGGGGCAUCUGGAAAAAGGCUUGUCGGGAGAAGAGAAGGUGAGCACUAACAUCAGUCCUGUGUCAUGCCAACAGUAAAGCAUCCUGACACCAUUCAUGUGUGGGGUUGCUUCUCAUCCGAGGGAGUGGGCUCACUCACAAUUCUGCCCAAAAACACAGCCAUGAAUAAAAAAUGGUACCAAAACACCCUCCAACAGCAACUUCUUCCAACAAUCCAACAACAGUUUGGUGAAGAACAAUGCAUUUUCCAGCACGAUGGAGCACCGUGCCAUAAGGCAAAAGUGAUAACUAAGUGGCUCGGGGAUCAGAAUGUUGAAAUUUUGGGUUCCAUGGCCUGGAAACUCCCCAGAUCUUAAUCCCAUUGAGAACUUGUGGUCAAUCCUCAAGAGGCGGGUGGACAAACAAAAACCCACUAAUUCUGACAAACUCCAAGAAGUGAUUAUGAAAGAAUAGGUUGCUAUCAGUCAGGAUUUGUCCCAGAAGUUGAUUGAGAGCAUGCCCAGUCGAAUUGCAGAGGUCCUAAAAAAGAAGGGCCAACACGACUCUUUGCAUAAAUGUCAUGUAAUUGUCGAUAAAAGCCUUGCAAACGUAUGAAGUGCUUGUAAUUAUAUUUCAGUACAUCACAGAAACAACUGAAACAAAGAUCUAAAAGCAGUUUAGCAGAAAACUUUUUGAAAACUAAUAUUUAUGUAAUUCUCAAAACUUUAGUGCUGGGGGUACUUCAUGGAGAGGUUUGAGAACCACUGACAUGGAGCCCCCUUCCUCAAAUCUUGCCCUGGAGGUCAAAUGUACUGCAGAGUUUAGCUCCAACCCUGAUCAAAUUCACCUACCUGUGAUUUUCUAAUGAUCCCAAAUACAUUGAUUGCCAUUGAUUAGCAUGCUCAGGUGUGUUUGAUUAGAGUUAGAUCUAAACUCUGCAGGAAAGUGGAUCUUGAGGUCUAGAUAUGAGGAACCCGGAUAUAGAAGGAUCUGGAUUAUCACCCCGUCUGAGAAGAGGUAGCUGGUGACAGUUCUUUUGAGCUCCUGGAUGAAGAUGAUGCUCCCUCAACAGGCAAAUCCUCUACUAAGAUUCCAUGUUCGAAAAGAAGAAAAGGCAAACACACUAUAAAAACAGUUUCAUUGUAGGAGCCAGAGGAUACCCCUGGCUCAAGACUUACACUGCACAGCAUUUAUUGUUUACAAAGAAAUGUUCAUUUUUCUACAAAAAUAAAUAAAUAAAAUCCAGUUGCACUACCACACUUGACAACAUGUUUCUUGAAUCAUA